UUUUCAGGAAACAUCUACAUGAUUGUAGGCGGUAACAAUAACUUCUGUUUCAAACUACUUAAAUAUUGUGCUCUAGAUUUUAAUUUCAUGAUGUCUAUAAUGGUUUGUUGAGGUAAACUGUCUGUAUGCUGAGGUAACACACCGUCUGUCUACUGAGGUAACACACCGCCUGUCUACUGAGGUAACACUCUGUCUGUCUACUGAGGUAACACACCGUCUGUCUACUGAGGUAACACACCGCCUGUCUACUGAGGUAACACACCGCCUGUCUACUGAGGUUCCCCCUACUGUCUGCUGAGGUAACACACCGUCUGUCUACUGAGGUAACACACCGUCUGUCUACUGAGGUAACACACCGUCUGUCUACUGAGGUAACACACCGUCUGUCUACUGAGGUAACACUCUGUCUGUCUACUGAGGUAACACACCGUCUGUCUACUGAGGUAACAUACCGUCUGUCUACUGAGGUAACACACCGUCUGUCUACUGAGGUAACAGUGUCUGUCUGUCUCAGUCUUCUGGAGAACAAGGAAAC
ensembl:lncRNA